CGGGGGUACACGAGCGGCGAACGGGUGAGUAACACGUGAGCAACCUACCCUCAACUUCGGGAUAAGCCUCGGAAACGGGGUCUAAUACCGGAUAUCACUUCCUGCCUCAUGGUGGGGGGUUGAAAGUUCUGGCGGUUGGGGAUGGGCUCGCGGCCUAUCAGCUUGUUGGUGGGGUAAUGGCCUACCAAGGCGUCGACGGGUAGCCGGCCUGAGAGGGCGACCGGCCACACUGGGACUGAGACACGGCCCAGACUCCUACGGGAGGCAGCAGUGGGGAAUAUUGCGCAAUGGACGAAAGUCUGACGCAGCAACGCCGCGUGAGGGAUGACGGCCUUCGGGUUGUAAACCUCUUUCAGCAGGGACGAAGCGAGAGUGACGGUACCUGCAGAAGAAGGACCGGCCAACUACGUG
rnacentral:rRNA from 1 species